GAGCUUCAUUCUUUGAGGAUGAUGGUAGGGGAGAGUCCAUUUUAGUGGGGUGGUGGGUUGAUCUUGGCAGCACCAAUUUCCUGUGCUGGAUGUUAUGGGAGAAGCUACUCUGUGGCUCUCUGGUUUCCCUGGCUGUUGGAUUUUCUUCCAGCAUCUGCAGGAAGUUCCCCCUCAUGACAACCUCCAGGAGGAGGCCCAGCAUUUAUUGGGUCAGCUCUGCCUAAGGCUCACUGGAACCCGACCUCACACAUUUGUGGUUGUUGUUGUCUACCAUGAAGACAUCUGCAGGUGCUGGCCCAGUGCUAGAAGGGUGUGAGACUGGGGAAUAAAGAUCCAGAAUUCUACAUUGUUCUGCAAAGAAUCUGAUGAAGGGACUACUGCCAUACUCAACACUCCCCGCACUGCCAGAAUGACCGAGAUUUGGGAAACGACCUCUAGUGAACCAUCGUCUGUUUUGACACCACCUGCUCUUGACCUGGGUGAGAGGACCCUCCUGGUGUUUCCUCUACUGAGUGCUCUGGCUCAAUGGGGCUGUGUUUUGCCCUCCCAUUGGCUGCACUGGCCAGCUGCCUGCUUCCUGCGGACUGUUGUGUAAUAU